CUGGCGGCACGCCUAACACAUGCAAGUCGAACGCAGUAGCAAUACUGAGUGGCAGACGGGUGAGUAUAAUGUGGGAAUCUGCCUUUUGGUUUGGAAUAACACGGGGAAACUUGUGCUAAUACCGAAUAAGCCUUUACAGGGAAAGUUUUAACGCCGAAAGAUGAGCCCGCACUUGAUUAGCUAGUUGGUAAGGUAAAAGCUUACCAAGGCAACGAUCAAUAGCUGUUCUUAGAGGAAGACCAGCCACAUUGGGACUGAGACACGGCCCAGACUCCUACGGGAGGCAGCAGUGGGGAAUCUUGCACAAUGGGGGAAACCCUGAUGCAGCGAUGCCGCGUGAGUGAAGAAGGCCCUUGGGUUGUAAAACUCUUUCGUCGGGGAAGAAAAUGACUGUACCCGAAUAAGAAGGU
rnacentral:rRNA from 1 species